rnacentral:sRNA from 1 species
UUUUUGUUACUACCGGCCUAACCGCCGGCUAUGUAUAACCCUUUGUUGUCCGACUCUGUUGCCUCCGGGGCGACCCUGCCUUCGGGCGGGGGCCCCGGGUGGACACUUCAAACUCUUGCGUAACUUUGCAGUCUGAGUAAAUUUAAUUAAUAAAUUAAAACUUUCAACAACGGAUCUCUUGGUUCUGGCAUCGAUGAAGAACGCAGCGAAAUGCGAUAAGUAAUGUGAAUUGCAGAAUUCAGUGAAUCAUCGAAUCUUUGAACGCACAUUGCGCCCCCUGGUAUUCCGGGGGGCAUGCCUGUUCGAGCGUCAUUUCACCACUCAAGCCUCGCUUGGUAUUGGGCGACGCGGUCCGCCGCGCGCCUCAAAUCGACCGGCUGGGCCUUCUGUCCCCUCAGCGUUGUGGAAACUAUUCGCUAAAGGGUGCCCGGGAGGCUACGCCGUAAAACAACCCCAUUUCUAAGGUUGACCUCGGAUCAGGUAGGGAUACCCGCUGAACUUAAGCAUAUCAAUAAGCGGAGGA